rnacentral:rRNA from 1 species
CAAUAGCGUAUAUUAAAGUUGUUGCAGUUAAAAAGCUCGUAGUUGGAUUUGUGGCGUACGGUGUGUUCCGGGCACUUGUUGUCUGAGUAACCUGCUGUUGCCAUCCUUGGGUGGAACCUGUUUGGCAUUAGGUUGUCGUGCAGGGGAUGCCCAUCAUUUACUGUGAAAAAAUUAGAGUGUUCAAAGCAGGCUUAUGCCGUUGAAUAUAUUAGCAUGGAAUAAUGAGAUAGGACUUUUUUGCUAUUUUGUUGGUUUGCGCAAAGAGGUAAUGAUUAAUAGGGACAGUUGGGGGUAUUCGUAUUCCAUUGUCAGAGGUGAAAUUCUUGGAUUUUUGGAAGACGAACUACUGCGAAAGCAUUUACCAAGGAUGUUUUCAUUAA